UCAGUACCUGAUCUCACUAAUGCUCUUGUAGCUGAAUGAACACAAAUCUGGCAAAUGGGGGAACAAAUCUGAACAAGUCCUUGAUGUUCGACAAGGACGUAUGGUUGUGAUUGACAGGUUCUCUGGUUUCCUCCGACCUCCUCAUAACAUAGCAGUAAGCGGAUUGGCUACGAUAAAUUGCUCCUAGACGUGACCGUGUGUGCAAGGUGUCCUGAGAUGAACUGCCCAGUUCCUGGGAUAGAUGCCAGAUCCACUGCGACCCUGACUUGGAUAAAACGGCUACCGGAAGUGAUCGAGACGGAGAUGUGAAACUAAGCUCACUGCGAAAGGACCAGCGGAGCGUAACAGUGCUGGAUAAAUGAUUUGUUAAGGUUCUUUUUCCUUCAGGUACAUGAGGUAAAUAAAAUGGCAUAAUGGCAAAAUCCUAUGCGUGUGUCCCUAAACAAAUCUUCCUGUCUAAGCUAUAAUAGAUAUACUGAGCAAAAGUUAGAUUAGAGUUAACUUCGGUUCACUUAAUGCAUAAUCUGGCAGGAUGAGGCUCUACUGGUAAUUCAUUCAUGAUGGUUGAGACAUAAUUGGCCAGAAAUAUUUAACUUAAUCGAAAAGGGUGCCACACUUCUCUCUUAUUCUACACACACCUACCCACGCUAUUGUAUCCACUAUUUUAAUCAAUACUUUAUCUUUUUUGGUACAUUACACAUAAACUUGGCAGUACCAUUCCCAUAAGGCCUAACGCCAAUCUUAACUAUUUUAUCUUCUGUAUUUGAACAAAGAUUUGUACUUUUGUACAUAUAUUUGUCCUCUCUAGUUAGUAUGCACUGUCUUUAACAUUUAUUGUCCUGAAUUUGUAUUUUAUCCUGUAUACUCGUUGUGAAGUGUGUUUACUGUUCUGUGCAUUUAUUGCUCUGUUUAUUUAUUGUUCUGUUUAUUUAUGAUUGUGUAUUUAUUGUCUUAAGUAUUAAAUGUCCUGAGUCUCUUUUUUUUCUAUGAAGUAAUUCCAUCCAUCCACCCAUCCAUCUUCUAUACUGCUUAUCCUGAGUCACGGGGAAACCUGGAGUCUAUCCCAGGGAGUAUGGGGCACGAGGCGGGGUACACCCUGGACAGGAUGUCAAUCCAUCGCAGGGCACAAUCACAUACACACUCACACACCCGUUCAUACACUACGGACACUUUGGACACGCCGAUCAGCCUACCGUGCAUGCGUUUGGACUGGGGGAGGAAACCGGAGUACCCGGAGGAAACCCCCGCAGCACAGGGAGAACAUGCAAACUCCACACACACAGGGCCACGGUGGGAAUCGAACCCCCGACCCUGGAGGUGUGAGGCGAACGUGCUAAGCCACUAACAUAUUUUUGGAGACAUAUCAUUUGACACCAUUAUGUGACCUGAUCAAAUAAAAGCAGCUCUUGGAUGUGAGCUCUGACUUUUGUA